rnacentral:tRNA from 1 species
AUUUAAAUAGCUUAUUUAGAGCGUAAUAUUGAAGAUAUUAAAGUGAAUAAAAUUCUUUAAAUA